AGUGCGUGGAGACGCAGCCCCAACGUGCUGCUGCUGCUGCGGACACCUGGGGCGUGGAGCCAGGGCACGGGGCAGCUGUCCCUCUGCAGCCACACACCACAGGGGAUGGGCACCAGCAGACACGCCUGCUCGCUCCAGGACUUAGGCCUUUCCACAUAUUGGUUUUUCUUGAAGAGGAGACACAACCACAGCAGGGGUGAGGAGAAGAGAGAUGCAGUCACUCACUCAUUCAGGAAUAAUCUUUGAGUUGAAACUGCAGUCUGCUCUUGGCCAAAGAAACUGCAAGCUAAUUCUAAACUUAUAUGAAAAUGAAAAGGCACUUAAAUAACUCACACAACUUUGAAAGAGAAAAUCUUCCAAAUCUUCUUUGGAAGAUUCACACUUGAUUUUUGCAAGAGGUACAAUAAUGCCACUGUAAUCAAAACAGUGUGAUAUUGUCAUAAGGACAAACAAGUCGGUCAACAGAACAAAAUAGAGUCUUGGAAAUAAACGCAUGUAUAUAUGGUCAAUAGAUCUUUUUCAACAAAGUGCCCACAUAACUUGUUG
rnacentral:lncRNA from 10 species